UCUCCUCUGAUCACCCAAAGUUUUAUUUCUUCUAUGAAAUUCAAAGAGAAGCAUUUAUCCUACUGCUACCAUGUUGGUAUCAUUUUAUGUCUUCUCUGUCCAUAAGCCAAUAUGCUAGAGCCAGAGCAAUAGGGCUGGAUCUGUCCUUUUGCAUUGGUCCAUGAUUGUGCUACAGAGAUGCCCACAGCCUGGGAGCUCCAGAGCCAAAAGAAAACAACAGGCUUUUCAUCAGGCAGUAUGUACACCCCUGCAGGUCACCGCAGCAGGAUCCUGGCCAUGCCAACCUCUUUCCAUGCUCCUGAGGAGGAUGGGGGUGUAGAGGACAGAACUGAGGAGUUGAAAAGGGAUGAGCCCAGACAUAUGGGAACGACUUGUUGGUGUCUUUCCCGUGGAGAGGAUGGUGAAAGAAGAUGUUAGCACCAGCCAGCAUCCUUAUUAUCAAGUAGCACAGACGAGAGCUAUGACUUCCAUUCAAAGGCAAGAAAAAGGCUGUUGCCAGAGUCCAGGUUUGAUGUACAAUACUGGAUGCUUGGGGCUGGUGCACUGGGACGACCCAGAG